UUCGAUUCUGGCUCAGGAUGAACGCUGGCGGCGUGCUUAACACAUGCAAGUCGAACGGAGAUAGCGGAGAGCUUGCUUCUGCUAUCUAGUGGCGGACGGGUGAGUAACGCGUGGGUAACCUACCCUGUACAGGGGGAUAGCAGCUGGAAACGGCUGAUAAAACCGCAUAAAACGGCAGUACCGCAUGGUACAACCGUCAAAUAUUCAUAGGUACAGGAUGGGCCCGCGUCUGAUUAGCCAGUUGGUGGGGUAACGGCCUACCAAAGCGACGAUCAGUAGCCGGCCUGAGAGGGUGAACGGCCACAUUGGGACUGAGACACGGCCCAAACUCCUACGGGAGGCAGCAGUGGGGAAUAUUGGACAAUGGGGGAAACCCUGAUCCAGCGACGCCCGCGUGAGUGAAGAAGUAUCUCGGUAUGUAAAGCUCUAUCAGCAGGGAAGAUGAUGACGGUACCUGACUAAGAAGCACCGGCUAAAUACGUGCCAGCCGCUGC
rnacentral:rRNA from 1 species